rnacentral:ncRNA from 1 species
GACUCUUGAUUGGAAACAGUGACCGGAGAGUUUGAGUAAAACAGUACGUCUACCAAACGGUGACGUAGGCAUCCCAAAGCGAGUUCGAUGUCAACAUAAACAACACGUUGAGUCAAGGAGUAAAAGCUCGUUCAAUUUCCAUUUUCAGUACAAAUACAGACUGCGUGAUCCAUCGGUACUUUCCGAAAAGCAGCGAGUUAUGCAACCGUCGAGAAGUUACAGAA